rnacentral:rRNA from 1 species
AGUCGAACGGCAGCACGGACUUCGGUCUGGUGGCGAGUGGCGAACGGGUGAGUAAUGUAUCGGAACGUGCUAGUAGCGGGGAUAACUACGCGAAAGCGUAGCUAAUACCGCAUACGCCCUUCGGGGGGAAAGCGGGGACCUUCGGGCCUCGCACUAGGAGCGGCCGAUAUCGGAUUAGCUAGUUGGUGGGGUAACGUGCUCACCAAGGCGAUUACAGAGAUCCGUAGCUGGUUUGAGAGGACGACCAGCCACACUGGGACUGAGACACGGGCCCAGACUCCUACGGGAGGCAGGGGGAAUUCUGACAAUGGGAAACCCUGAUCCAGCCAUCCCGCGUGUGCGAUGAAGGCUCUCGGGUUGUAAAGCACUUUGGCAAGGGAAAGAAACGGCACGGGAUAAUACCCCGUGCAACUGACGGUACUAAGAAUAAGCACUAUUAACUACGCCAGCAGCCGCGGUAAUACGUAGGGUGCAAGCGUUAAUCGGAAUACCAAGCGUAAAGCGUGCGCAGGGCAGGUUCGGAAAGAAAGAUGUGAAAUCCCAGAGCUAACUUUGGAACUGCAUUUUUAACUACUUGUUUAGAGUGUGUCAGAGGGAGGUGGAAUUCCGUGUAGCAGUGAAAUGCGAUAUGCGGAGGAACAAUGACGGCGAAGGCAGCCUCCGAUAACACUGACGCUCGAUGCACGAAAGCGUGGGGAGCAACAUGAUUAGAUACCUGGUGGUCCACGCCUCAAACGAUGUCAACUAGCUGUUGGGGCCUUUCGGGCCUGGUAGCGCAGCCAACGCGCGAAGACCGCCUGGGGAGUACGGUCGCAAGAUUAAAACUCGCCGAAUUGACGGGGACUCCGCACAAGCGGUGGAUGAUGUGGAUUAAUCUGAUGCAACGGCGAAAACCUUACCUACCCUUGAUAAAACGGAAUCCCAAGAGAUUUGGGAGUGCUCGCAAGAGAACUGGAACACAGGUGCUGCAUGGCUGUCGUCAGUUUCGUGUCGUGGAGAUGUUGGUUAUUCCAACGAGCGCAACCCUUGUCAUUAGUUGCUACGAAAGGGUACCGACGAGACUGCCGGUGACAAACUGAGGAAGGUGGGGAUGACGUCAAGUCCUCAUGGCCCUUAUGGGUAGGGCUUCAACAUCGUCAUACAAUGGUCGGGACAGAGGGUCGCCAACCCGCGAGGGGGAGCCAAUCCUAGAAACCCGAUCGUAGUCCGGAUCGCAGUCUGCAACUCGACUGCGUGAAGUCGGAAUCGCUAGUAAUCGCGGAUCAGCAUGUCGCGGUGGAAUACGUUCCUGGUCUUGUACACACUGCCUGUCACACCAUGGGAGUGGGUUUUACCAGAAGUAGUUAGCCUAACCGUAAGGGAGGGCGAUUACUACGGAUUCAGAUGACUGGGGUGAAGUCGUAACAAGGCAA